GCCCGCCACACUGAAUACUCCAGGUUAGACUACUUUUUACUCAGCCCGCCACACUGAAUACUCCAGGUUAGACUACUUUUUACUCAGCCCGCCACACUGAAUACUCCAGGUUAGACUACUUUUUACUCAGCCCGCCACACUGGAUACUCCAGGUUAGACUACUUUUUACUCAGCCCGCCACACUGAAUACUCCAGGUUAGACUACUUUUUACUCAGCCCGCCACACUGGAUACUCCAGGUUAGACUACUUUUUACUCAGCCCGCCACACUGGAUACUCCAGGUUAGACUACUUUUUACUCAGCCCGCCACACUGGAUACUCCAGGUUAGACUACUUUUUACUCAGC
ensembl:lncRNA